rnacentral:rRNA from 1 species
CAUUUAAAGUGGUACGCGAGCUGGGUUUAGAACGUCGUGAGACAGUUCGGUCCCUAUCUGCCGUGGGCGCUGGAGAACUGAGGGGGGCUGCUCCUAGUACGAGAGGACCGGAGUGGACGCAUCACUGGUGUUCGGGUUGUCAUGCCAAUGGCACUGCCCGGUAGCUAAAUGCGGAAGAGAUAAGUGCUGAAAGCAUCUAAGCACGAAACUUGCCCCGAGAUGAGUUCUCCCUGACCCUUUAAGGGUCCUGAAGGAACGUUGAAGACGACGACGUUGAUAGGCCGGGUGUGUAAGCGCAGCGAUGCGUUGAGCUAACCGGUACUAAUGAACCGUGAGGCUUAACCUUACAACGCCGAAGCUGUU